GAGCGGGAGAGGCUGGAGCACAGACGCCUCUCCCAAGGCCACAGAUGGCUACGGCCGGCUCCAGGCCCUGGGGGAGGAGGGAGGCAGGGAGAAGGGGGUGGCGAUGCUGUGGGUCAGCCCCAAGUUCCUGGGCCAGAUGCCAGUGCCAGCCUCUGAAGGUAGAAGGUCCAGGGGCUCUGAACUAUGCAGUCAGUGCUCCCCCAGAGGGGAGGGCACCCCCCUCUCUCAGGGAUGACACCAGGCUCCCAGGGACAGGGUUGUCUAGUGACGGGCUGGCUCCUGGAGCAGUUUCCCUGGACAUUCUGCUCUGAACCCUGGAGCAGAGGGGGCACGAGACAUUCACCCGGCCGGCCAGAGCAGGAGGUCUCAGCAGCAGCCGGCCGCCUAGACCUCAGGGGUGCCGUAUCUCUGCUGUGAAGUCCUCCCAGAUACGACGACGCCCGGUGGGAGACCGGGCAAGACAGCUGCAGGUCACCCCAGCCAUCACCGACGGGUCUGAAGACCACCUAGGACCCACGCAAUGUGCUCCUGGGGAGCAGACAAGACUCCUGUCCUGCCUGAGACGCACUGGCCUUCCCUGGAGAUGACCAGAGCCAGGACGCCUGGGUGGCUGUAUCGGCCCCACGAGACACCUUCCCCUGGAGUGAGGCUUCUGAGGCCGGGCAAAGGAGACCAGGCCACACAAGGGAGUCCCUGGCACUUGGGCCUCCAGGAGGCUCAGCAGGGCCGAGCUUGCUGGCCAGGCCUGGGAGCAUCCCAGGAGCCCCUCUGAGACAGGGCAGGAGGACUGCUGUCUGUGCACCCCCUCUCCUGGCUGAGGGAAGGGCUCCAUGAGCUUUCUACACGGGCGUCUGGAAGCCCAGCUGCCCCAGGAGCUCCCCUACUGUGGCCCCAGAGCCAGGACUCCAGGUGACCACACAGAGCACUGGGCAAGGGCAGGACAGGCCUGCAGAGGUUUUGGAGGGGAUGGGAA